UUGCCGCUGACAUCACUAACUAGCCAGUUCCCUCCAGCAGCACCAGAGAGCUUCAUUUUCUGAUCUGCUUUUGUGUUAAAAUGGAGGCUGGCUCCUUGCCUUAAGUGGAUUGCCUUCCUGGUCGAGUUUAGAUGUUGACAUGCACUAAAGCUGGAAUGAGGAUGGUUGUGGAUGCACCUAAUUCCAAUGGGCCUUUCCAGCCAGUGGCUCUUAUGCACUUCAGAGACUGUGCUCCGGCGGAGCAGGAGAAGCUGUUUGUGCAGAAGCUACGCCAGUGUUGCGUGCUCUUUGACUUCCUGUCGGACCCACUAAGUGACCUGAAAUGGAAGGAGGUGAAGCGGGCGGCGUUGAGCGAGAUGGUGGAGUACAUCACCCACAACAGGAACGUCAUCACAGAGCCCAUCUACCCAGAGGUGGUGCACAUGUUUGCAGUGAACAUGUUCCGAACGUUGCCUCCGUCGUCCAACCCCACAGGAGCAGAGUUUGACCCCGAGGAGGACGAGCCUACACUUGAGGCUGCAUGGCCACAUCUCCAGCUCGUCUACGAAUUUUUCCUUCGGUUUUUAGAAUCUCCCGACUUUCAACCGAACAUAGCAAAGAAGUAUAUCGACCAAAAAUUUGUGAUGCAGCUUUUAGACCUGUUUGACAGUGAGGACCCACGGGAGAGGGACUUCCUCAAAACCACUCUCCACAGGAUCUAUGGGAAAUUCCUGGGACUAAGGGCCUACAUCAGAAAACACAUCAAUAAUAUAUUUUAUAGGUUUAUCUAUGAGACCGAGCACCAUAAUGGAAUAGCAGAAUUACUGGAGAUACUCGGAAGUAUAAUCAAUGGGUUUGCCUUACCACUAAAAGAGGAGCACAAGAUUUUCCUGUUAAAGGUCCUGUUGCCUUUGCACAAAGUCAAAUCACUUAGUGUCUACCAUCCACAGCUGGCAUACUGUGUUGUGCAAUUUCUAGAGAAGGACAGCACUCUCACUGAACCAGUGGUAAUGGCCCUUCUCAAAUACUGGCCAAAGACUCACAGCCCCAAAGAGGUGAUGUUCCUCAAUGAGCUGGAGGAGAUUCUGGACGUCAUUGAGCCGUCUGAGUUCGUCAAGGUCAUGGAGCCACUCUUCAGGCAGCUGGCAAAGUGUGUGUCCAGCCCGCACUUCCAGGUAGCAGAGAGAGCUCUGUACUACUGGAACAAUGAGUACAUCAUGAGUCUAAUCAGCGACAAUGCAGCCAAAAUCCUGCCCAUCAUGUUCCCGGCACUCUACCGUAACUCCAAGACCCACUGGAACAAGACCAUCCAUGGCCUCAUCUACAAUGCUCUCAAGCUCUUCAUGGAGAUGAACCAGAAGCUGUUUGAUGACUGCACACAGCAGUUCAGAACAGAGAAAAAUAAAGAAAAGGCCAAGUCAAAAGAGAGGGAAGAGGCAUGGCUCAAGAUUGAGACCCUUGCCAAAUCCAAUCCACAUAGCAUGACCAGUUUUUAUCCUCAUGCACUGCAAGUGAUUGGUUGGGUGCCACAGCCAACGAGUUCAACCUAUCUACUCAAUUGCAUUCCCAAUAUAUUGUUUCAUUCUAGGUAGUGUGCUAAUGUGGAUAUUGGAACAGAGUCCUAGUGAAAGUUCACAGGUUAAAAAAGACAGUAACGGAAGAAGCCACUCAGUUACAAGAGAGAGACCAGAGAAAAGACUGUCCUCUGGUGCGGCGCGAGUCGGAUUUCCCUCAGGACAUCUACACCGCAAAAGCCUUGGAGACCCAUCGCCGCGCCGAUGACAUGAUCACCACCCACAAUGGGCUUUAGGUCUGCCCCUCCUCUCUCUUCUCUUCUGUCCAGUCCCCUAAAGGAGUACCCUCGUCCCUCCACACCCCACCUUCCCACCCACACAGCACAUUCAGAAUACUGGCCCGGUUUCCCUAUCUCGCCAGUACACUGCCCCACCUCCCUCAGAUUUCUGCUUUCUCAGGUGUUUAUUUUGGGGGGAGGGGUGGGGCUGCAACUCUUUUAGCUGUCGGUCUUGCAGAGUCAUUGUUUUCCUUAUUGUUUCCGCUGAAUUGUGCAUAAAACAGUAUAUCGGCUCAUCCCUCCCUGCUCUUAUUGUACGAAUGAAAAUGGGGACGUUUCGUUCCACCUGUGACAUGACAAGCUCAUGUGAAAUGCACAACAAACGUAGAGAGCAGAAACUGAAUGAGGGAGACUUCUUUUCUUCUUCUGUCUUCUGUUUUCUGUCAAGGGGAAACAACCAAAAACAGAUUGUUGGAUGGAGGGGUAGGACUGUUGGAUCGACUUUCUGGACUUUAUUUUUUAUCCCAGGGACAUCUGCCAGUGCCAAGACCAUUUGUGUUUAUUUUUUUUUUCUGUAUUUUUCUUAACAAGGGCGACUAGCUAGGUAGAGCCUGCGUUGUUUGCCUUCAUUUUUUUGGCCUCCGAUGUUUUGACAAUGCGUUUCUUGUUUUUAAUAAGCUGAAGAGCAUCAGGAUUGUCUAAAGUGACUGAUCCAUCUGUUCUGAUGAAGUCACAUUGUGACAGGAAUUGAGAGAGGGAGGGAGGUUCUCUGUGGACACUGAACUCUUUACACUCUACAGUUUGUGCCAUAUAAAUGUUUUAUUUUGUCUUAUUUCCUUUCUCAUACUCAUCUGUUGAAUUCCAUCUGCAAUAUGUGAGCUGGAUCACAGUGAAAUAUUGACAGUUCAAACAAUGGUACUUCUUAUUUCAUAUAGAGAAACAUAUUGGGUGGUUGUUAGUUUCCACCCUGUUUGUCAUACUCAAAAGCCCCUCUUAGACAUUUCAACAUCUGUAGCCAGUAGGCACACACUGUAAUGCUGCAUUAUGUAGAAUUUAUUUUUAAUUUUUACUGGAAUCACAUUAUGACACCUUACCUGGGGGUAUCACAUAAUGAGUAGUUAUUUGGGAUGCAAGAUGAUUUGUAAAUCAGUGAUUCUGCACAGCCUGACUGCAAUGUAGUCCAUCUUAAAUGCAAACCCCACUGGGCACACACUGGUUGAAUCAAUAUUUCCAUGUAAUUUCAAUGAAAUUAAGUUGAACCAAUGUGGAAUAGAUGUUGAGUUGAUGAUCCAGGCUUCAGCAGGAGCCUCGCAGUCCUGGAGCUACUUGCUUGUCAAGCAUUGACCUCCAUUUGUUUCAGAGGUACCCAUGAUAUCACGUUGUGUCCAUCUCGUACCCCCCCCAGCAUGCUCACUAUUCCCCUGUUGAUUAUUUUUUUUACCACCACCCUCUUAUCCAGAUGUGCUUCUCUGUGGAGCUGAAAGGACUGUUACUAAGCAAAGAACAAAACAAAUGAUUCACUUCCAUAAGACAUCCUUUUCGAAGACAUCGGAGUGCCUUUUAUCGUGAGGAGGAAUAUGAAAUAAUUUUUGGACCCAAUGAGGAAAAUAGCAACACUGUUUGAAUGCGAAAACCAUUUCAUGUGACGGUUAAAUGAGCAUAUGUGUCCAUUGCCAAUAAUAUAUAUUGAUUCACAGGGACAUUCACAGAGAAAGUAGAGACCGAGCGGUGAUUCCAGACCUGAAUCCCUCUUGGAAGUAGAUGAAUCGUGUAAUUGUCAAGAAAAAGUAUAUUGAACUACCUAUAAAGCACUUCCUGAAAACUUGAAA